rnacentral:rRNA from 1 species
AACGAACGCUGGCGGCAUGCCUAACACAUGCAAGUCGAACGAGAUCUUCGGGUCUAGUGGCGCACGGGUGCGUAACGCGUGGGAAUCUGCCCUUUGGUUCGGAAUAACAGUUGGAAACGACUGCUAAUACCGGAUGAUGACGAAAGUCCAAAGAUUUAUCGCCAGAGGAUGAGCCCGCGUAGGAUUAGCUAGUUGGUGUGGUAAAGGCGCACUAAGGCGACGAUCCUUAGCUGGUCUGAGAGGAUGAUCAGCCAAACUGUGACGGGGACACGGACCAGACUGAUACGGGAGGCAGCAGUGGGGAAUAUUGGACAAUGGGCGAAAGCCUGAUCCAGCAAUGCCGCGUGGGUGAUGAAGGCCUUAGGGUUGUAAAGCUCUUUUACCCGGGAUGAUAAUGACAGUGCCGGGAGAAUAAGCUCCGGCUAACUCCGUGCCAGCCGCCGCGGUAA